CAGAGGGUGCGAGCGUUGUUCGGAAUUACUGGGCGUAAAGCGCGCGCAGGCGGCCCUUUAAGUCUACCCGUGAAAUGCCGGAGCUCAACUCCGUGCACGCCGGGGGAUACUGGAGGGCUGGAGACAGGUAGAGGCAGGCGGAAUUCCGGGUGUAGCGGUGGAAUGUGUAGAGAUCCGGAAGAACACCAGAGGCGAAGGCGGCCUGCUGGGCCUUGUCUGACGCUGAGGCGCGAAAGCGUGGGGAGCGAACAGGAUUAGAUACCCUGGUAGUCCACGCCGUAAACGAUGGGCACUGGGCGCGGGUGGGAUCGACCCCUUCCGUGCCGCAGCUAACGCGUUAAGUGCCCCGCCUGGGGAGUACGGCCGCAAGGCUG
rnacentral:rRNA from 1 species